UGUUGAAACACUGAUCUGUGCGUUCGACUGAACACUGAACCUCCGUUCCUACUUGAAACGCGUUGGUGAUUUUAACGAAUGGAAUAUUAAGCGAUCAACUGUCGGAUUCAGUGGUUCGAACUGGUGGACGAAACGUAAGCUGGUCGAAGGACCCAGCCAACCCACACAGAGACACCCAGUCCGAAGUUCCCGGGGAAGGAUGCUCCGUGCCCUGGGAAGCGAAUUGGCGACUACCAUACCUUGAAGAAGGAUCCGUCCUAUGAGACCCCCGGCGUGG